AACGCAGCGAAGGGCGAUACGUAAUGUGAAUUGCAGAAUUCAGUGAAUCAUCGAAUCUUUGAACGCACCUUGCGCCCCUGGUAUUCCGAGGGGCACACCCGUUUGAGUGUCGUGAAAACCUCAACCUCCUUGGUUUCUUCUGGAGACCAAAGCAGGCUUGGACUUUGGAGGCCUUUGCUGGCACCUCUCGCCAGCUCCUCUUAAAUGAAUUAGCAGGGUCCUCUUUGCUGAUCCUCGACGUGUGAUAAGAUGUUUCCAUGUCUUGGUUUCUGGCUCUGUCACCUUUCGGACAACUUCAUAUCAAAUUUGACCUCAAAUCAGGUAGGACUACCCGCUGAACUUAA
rnacentral:rRNA from 1 species